rnacentral:lncRNA from 1 species
GACCCAAAAACAUUAAUUUUACAAGCAUGUCUCGGAGAACACUAUGCUACUCUGCAGCCAGCACCGCCCCCAUCAAGCGAGGCCACUCUUGUUCGGCUGCCACACACCAACCAGGGGUCAUCCAACAUUUAUAGCAGCAAAUCAACCCGUCCACGCCAAUGUUGUCAAAACGCAUGUCUUUGUUGUUGAAAAUGCUCCCAUAACCAAUAUCUGCCACAUGAUGAAAAGUAUGCUGCGUUAUAAAAUACUACAUCCAGUAGGUUAAACUACAAGUAGCUUACUUCACAUUAUCAAGUUCUACAUUUUUUUUCACUCCCAGAAUGCAAAGUAGUGCAACAAAUUUACAAAAGUGUGAAAAGAAACAACUGGUGGCAAAAAAAAGGAAUGAUGAGCAUGCAUAGAUCAAUAGAAUUGGUAGUAAACUCCGUUGCGCUUAUUUUACGUUUUCACUACAGUAAACUCGAUAAGAAAUGCAGCCCAGCUGAAUAUUGCGCAUUGAUGAGAAUUUCUGGGCACUUUUCUCAAAAUGUAAAAACGGAAUGUACAAAUUCCAUGAUGAUUAUGUCUUAAUGGAAUAUGUGUCCUAUCUGAUAUGAUAUUCUAUAGGAAAAGGAUCUGGCAUAUGUGGCUUACGAUAAAUCUAGCCGAAAAGACAUUUGUAAGACACCACUUCUAAUAAAGGAUCGGAUCAAGUAGAAUUCAGUUUUUGUAUGUAUUAUUACACACACAAAAAUAGUCCAACUAUAGAUACAAAAAAAAUAUUGUCUAGUAUCACACUUCAGUAUCUUAUGAACAUUACCUGCCCUUGCAUAUUUAGCUAAAAAACUAAAAAGUUAGUAUACCAAAUUCUGACUGUAUAGCAUUCAAUAUUCGUACUUGGUUUCCAAACCAUCAAAUGCUUGGUACACUCAUGAAUUAUCAUCAAUACAAACAGUUUUGAUCAUUAUAAAUUUAUAGUUCGCUUGCCUUAAAAAAACUUGCAAGAGCAACAGAAUGCAUUUCUAUCCCGAUGAGAUGAACCACAACCGAAUCAUGAAAAGGAAGAAUGAAGGGCAUGUGUUGCCCAAACCAAAAUACUGCUACCUCUUCUCUCUGCAUCCAGUUAAUCUAUUUUUCUCUGAAACUCUAAAGCUAGCAUCAUCUGUAUGUGUCUACAGUAAUUAUAGAAAACAUAAGUCAUAGGGAGCCACGGUCUACAAAUCCAGACAUACCGAUGAAGACUAAAGACAACACAAUAGGCCAUACGAUGCCCGGGCGAGGUUGAGCAUGGCGGCACGUUGCCAAAAGUAGCACCAUAAUUCUCUUGAGAUCUUUCGAUUUAGAUUCAGCAGGUAGAGGAACAACAUCUUUUGAUUUAUUCAGCACGUUCAGAAAUGUGCAACAUCUCUUGAUUCAAAUUUAAUAUGUUCAGAAGUACAAAACUUUUGGGACACAUAUAUGGUUGUUUGUGAAAUCUUAUGAAGGGUAAUCUUACCAAACUCAUACCUCAUGGCCGUGUGUGCAAACUGGAUGACUGCAUAGAUGGGAUUUUCUAUGCUGUAGGAGGCAAUGUAAGGAUUAAAAAUCUGGUCCAUUAUCAACCAAGACUCCAUGCUAUAACAUCUCUAGCACUAUACAAGACAGAGGAUGAUCAAUGAUGAACUCACUACUUUGGCCAGUAUACAAUCAAAAUAUGGAAAUUGAUUACUCUUUCAG